UACAGAGGGGGCAAGCGUUAUUCGGAAUUACUGGGCGUAAAGCGUGCGCAGGCGGUUCUAUAAGACAGAUGUGAAAUCCCCGGGCUCAACCUGGGAACUGCAUUUGUGACUGUAGAGCUGGAGUGCGGCAGAGGGGGAUGGAAUUCCGCGUGUAGCAGUGAAAUGCGUAGAUAUGCGGAGGAACACCGAUGGCGAAGGCAAUCCCCUGGGCCUGCACUGACGCUCAUGCACGAAAGCGUGGGGAGCAAACAGG
rnacentral:rRNA from 1 species